rnacentral:tRNA from 1 species
GGUGGCGCGUCCGACUGCGGAUCGGGACGUCGCGGGUUCGAAUCCCG